UCAGCUAUUGCCAAGGCUAUCGCUCGUCUCGUCUCGUCUCGUCUUGUCUCGUCCGCGUCUUUCCCGUCCCACCCACCUUCCCCCAU
rnacentral:ribozyme from 1 species